GACGAACGCUGGCGGCGUGCCUAAUACAUGCAAGUCGAACGCAGUGGGGACGGGUGAGUAACACGUGGGUAACCUCCCAUCAGAGGGGAUAACACUUGGAAACAGGUGCUAAACCGAUACUGAUGGAUGGACCCGCGGUGCAUUAGCUAGGUGGUGAGGUAACGGCUCACCAAGGCCACGAUGCAUAGCCGACCUGAUAGGGUGAUCGGCAACACUGGGACUGAGCCACGGCCCAGACCCCUACGGGAGGCAGCAGUGGGGAAUAUUGGACAAUGGGCGCAAGCCUGAUGCAGCCAUGCCGCGUGGAUGAAGAAGGCCUUCGGGUUGUAAAGUACUUUCAGCGGGGAAGCGUUACCCGAAGAAGAAGCACCGGCUAACUCCGUGCCAGCAGCCGCGGUAAUUC
rnacentral:rRNA from 1 species